GACGAACGCUGGCGGCGUGCUUAACACAUGCAAGUCGAACGAGACGAUUGAAAGCUUGCUUUUAAAAGUCGAGUGGCAAACGGGUGAGUAACGCGUAGACAACCUGCCUUUGAGAUGGGGACAACAGUUCGAAAGGACUGCUAAUACCGAAUGUUGUAUAUUUUCCACAUGGAAGAUAUAUUAAAGAUGGCCUCUAUUUAUAAGCUAUCGCUCAAAGAUGGGUCUGCGUCUGAUUAGCUGGUUGGUGGGGUAACGGCCUACCAAGGCGACGAUCAGUAGCCGGUCUGAGAGGAUGAACGGCCACAUUGGGACUGAGACACGGCCCAGACUCCUACGGGAGGCAGCAGAGGGGAAUCUUCCACAAUGGACGGAAGUCUGAUGGAGCAACGCCGCGUGAGUGAAGAAGGGUUUCGGCUCGUAAAGCUCUGUUGUCGGGGACGAAUGUGCAGUAUUUGAAUAAAGUACUGCAAUGACGGUACCUGACGAGGAAGCCACGGCUAAUUACGUGCCAGCAGCCGCAGUAA
rnacentral:rRNA from 1 species